AGCUGGUUCUCUCCGAAAUAGCUUUAGGGCUAGCCUCAAGUGAUGAUUAUUGGAGGUAGAGCACUGUUUGGACGAGGGGCCCCUCUCGGGUUACCGAAUUCAGACAAACUCCGAAUGCCAAAUAAUUUAACUUGGGAGUCAGACUAUGGGUGAUAAGGUCCGUAGUCGAAAGGGAAACAGCCCAGACCACCAGCUAAGGUCCCAAAAUAUAUGUUAAGUGGAAAAGGAUGUGGCGUUGCCCAGACAACUAGGAUGUUGGCUUAGAAGCAGCCAUCAUUUAAAGAGUGCGUAAUAGCUCACUAGUCGAGUGACACUGCGCCGAAAAUGUACCGGGGCUAAACAUAUUACCGAAGCUGUGGAUUAUCCGUAAGGAUAAUGGUAGGAGAGCGUUCUAAACGUGUCGAAGCAUGAUCGUAAGGACAUGUGGAAUGUUUAGAAGUGAGAAUGCCGGUGUGAGUAGCGAAAGAUGGGUGAGAAUCCCAUCCACCGAUUGACUAAGGUUUCCAGAGGAAGGCUCGUCCGCUCUGGGUUAGUCGGGACCUAAGCCGAGGCCGAUAGGCGUAGGCGAUGGAUAACAGGUAGAUAUUCCUGUACCACCUAUGAUUGUUUGAACGAUGGGGGGACGCAGUAGGAUAGGCGAAGCGUGCUGUUGGAGUGCACGUCCAAGCAAUAAGACUGAGUGUUAGGCAAAUCCGGCACUCGUAAGGUUGAGUUGUGAUGGGGAGUUGGAUCAUGUAUCCGACGAGUCGUUGAUUUCACACUGCCAAGAAAAGCCUCUAGUUAGAAAAUAGGUGCCCGUACCGCAAACCGACACAGGUAGUCAAGAUGAGAAUUCUAAGGUGAGCGAGCGAACUCUCGUUAAGGAACUCGGCAAAAUGACCCCGUAACUUCGGGAGAAGGGGUGCUUUUUAGGGUGCAAGCCUUGAAGAGCCGCAGUGAAUAGGCCCAAGCGACUGUUUAUCAAAAACACAGGUCUCUGCUAAACCGUAAGGUGAUGUAUAGGGGCUGACGCCUGCCCGGUGCUGGAAGGUUAAGAGGAGUGGUUAGCUUCUGCGAAGCUACGAAUCGAAGCCCCAGUAAACGGCGGCCGUAACUAUAACGGUCCUAAGGUAGCGAAAUUCCUUGUCGGGUAAGUUCCGACCCGCACGAAAGGCGUAACGAUUUGGGCACUGUCUCAACGAGAGACUCGGUGAAAUCAUAGUACCUGUGAAGAUGCAGGUUACCCGCGACAGGACGGAAAGACCCCGUGGAGCUUUACUGUAGCCUGAUAUUGAAAUUUGGCACAGCUUGUACAGGAUAGGUAGGAGCCUUUGAAACGUGAGCGCUAGCUUACGUGGAGGCGCUGGUGGGAUACUACCCUGGCUGUGUUGACUUUCUAACCCGCACCAUUUGAUCAUGGUGGGAGACAGUGUCAGGCGGGCAGUUUGACUGGGGCGGUCGCCUCCUAAAGAGUAACGGAGGCGCUCAAAGGUUCCCUCAGAAUGGUUGGAAAUCAUUCGCAGAGUGUAAAGGCACAAGGGAGCUUGACUGCGAGACCUACAAGUCGAGCAGGGUCGAAAGACGGACUUAGUGAUCCGGUGGUUCCGCAUGGAAGGGCCAUCGCUCAACGGAUAAAAGGUACUCCGGGGAUAACAGGCUUAUCUCCCCCAAGAGUUCACAUCGACGGGGAGGUUUGGCACCUCGAUGUCGGCUCA
rnacentral:rRNA from 1 species